GGUGCUUCAGCCACUGAGAAGGCAGACAAGCUGAAAUGAAGGAAAAGGGAUGAGUAUUGCAUUCAUUUGUAAUGUUUUCCUGUUGAAAACCAUUGUGCUUAUUGCAGAGUUUGUAGUACAUUUGGAAUUAGGAAAAACAGCAUCCUGUAUUAGCGAAAUAACAAUUUAGGUAGGAGGUUUUAUUAGUGUUUGUGAUCCAGUUCCUGCUCCAGUGCUGAGGCUUUCUCAGUCUCUUGUGUUGGGCUCCGAGGGCUCCUGUGCGUGCUGCCUGCAGCCUCCCUGCUCACUGCGAGUGCUCUGCUUUGGCACUGCGUGGGUGAGCGCUGGACUCGUGUUUGGCUCCAUCUCACAUUCAUCACUGACCUAGAAAAGCGUCUCUCGCUGCACACCCAGCAGGACAGGAAACAUCACUUGGAAACAGAUAAUGGAACCAUCAAUUCCACACUCCUGCGUGUUAUAAUCUAUUUUGUUACUGUGUUUUCUAUUUUCCGAACUUUUAGUUAAUUGCUAUAAAGGGUAGUAUUUCUUGGUACCAUUCUGACUUCUGUUAAUGUCACUGCUACUUGGUGUCUGACAGAUGCUGAUUUAUUGGAAAGCAUGCUUUUAAAAGCCUAUUUUAACUGAAUUAUGUGCUGGCCAUUCCAGCCAAUCCAAUGCAGCAUCCCUCUGCUUUCACGGUUCUUUAUUAGCCUCUCUGGUUGUCACAUCUUGCAACCCACAGCUUAACUUCUUUGAUUAAAUUACUUUGUGCAGAAAAUGUCUCAAUUCAGAAUGAGAGCAGGUGGAUUUCACUGUGUGCCUUAUUUUCCAAUACUUUAUUUAUGCAAAAUCCAGACAUUAUUAAAAACUUGUAUAAAAGCAUCUCUCUAAAGAAAACUGAAAAACUAAGUAAAACUGAGCGCACCAAGCAGUAUUUUAUAUAAUUAAAAGCACUCAUUUGAAAAUACUGUGUGAGGAGUACUACCAUGAGUGUUACAUAUAUUGCCUAUUACAUACAUUGAGCUGACUAUUUUAUGUAUUAAGUAAGGAUCCUUAUGCAUAAUGAAAAUUCCUGCCACCUCAUGCAUUUUUUGUCUUUAGGAGUUGUUGCAGUCCUUCCUCAUUCAAAUAGCCAGAGGAACUUGAAAAGUCACUCUGCUUAGAAAACACACUUUUUUUUUUUUUUUUUUUUCCCCUAAUUCAGAAUCUAAACAUGGGGGAAACUCAGGGGUACUGUCUGUGAUGUCAACACAAUACUACAAAAGUAAAAGGGAAGAAUGGGGUGAAAUCUAAAGACCACAGCUUCAAGCAGGGCAAGGAAUACAAAUGCACCCUGGCAGCGUUUGUGUCUCUGAACAGGGAGCGCAGACGCUGCUUCUGUGCACUUGGAAGCGUGAAAACCAUCUUUGCUGAAAGUUUGCUGUCAAACUGAUGCUUGCUCAGGGACUGCUGGAGGAGGGAAAGUGAGCAAGCUGAAGUCUGCCUGCCUGCCUUCAGGGAGAUGUUCCUCAGCUGCUCUGUUCGCAGAUGCCAGGGGCUGGCUUCAAAAUGCUCUUUCCUGGCAAUGACAGUGUGCAUAUGCAGCCGGUGCCCCCCAGGAGCAGGCAGUUUUCUCUUAUUCUGCAUGUUUUCUCUUAUUCUGAGUGAAGGCAAUAGCCCGCGUCUGUCCCAGUGCUGCCUCACAAGGGUGACAUUUCACCUCACCGAAGCUGCUUGUUUCCUUCUCAUCUGUGAGUCAGUAGCAUGGGGAAAGCACGCAGCGUACGGGCUGUCUGCUGCACAGCUUCUGCACGCCGGCGAGUUUGCAAAUCCCUGGCAGCCCAGUCCCUGCUCCUGCAUGCCUGCCUGCCUUGCAAAUGCUGCCACUGCAUGCACAGCUCCGAAACAAAGCUGAAAAUACCGUCUGCACUCGGUUAUGUUUUCAGACUUGGAAGGUGCAUCCUGGUAUUUGUAAAACAUGAAGUUGUGAAAGCAGGCACCCCUGGGCAGUCAGUCAUGUACACAGGCUGUUCUUUGCCAGACUGAACUUUCACUUGUCUUCACAAACUUGAGUGGCAGACCACAAGAGACUCAUGACUAUUCAGGGCAUAAAAUAUAAUCCCACUUGCAAAACAAGUGUGUUUGCACUGCCUGCUCUGGGAAAA